CCAAUCAUGCAACUUCCAUUUUAAGAGGCCAAUUAUGGUUUACCUAGAAAGAGGAGAAAUUAUACCCUACAUUGCUUGCACCAUGCCGUUGUGCACUAUGUCAAUCACCUUGCCUCUUAUCUAUAGACUCCAUUCAAGAUGCGCUAGUCAUGGUGAUUGGCCCAUAGAAAGGAGGCAUGCUCAAUGGUAGUGCAUGGUCAUAUUGGUGCAUGUAGUGUAAGAUAUAAUUUUUUGAGAAAGAGAGAG
rnacentral:lncRNA from 1 species